UACGGGGGGAGCAAGCGUUGUUCGGAUUUACUGGGCGUAAAGCGCGCGUAGGCGGACGUUUUUUUAAGUCAGGGGUGAAAUCCCAGGGCUCAACCCUGGAACGGCCUUUGAUACUGGACGUCUGGAGAUCGGGAGAGGUUGGUGGAAUUCCGAGUGUAGAGGUGAAAUUCGUAGAUAUUCGGAGGAACACCAGAAGCGAAGGCGGCCAACUGGCCCGAUACUGACGCUGAGGCGCGAAAGCGUGGGGAGCAAACAGG
rnacentral:rRNA from 1 species